ensembl:lncRNA
GCGCGCGCCCGCGCCCGCGCGCACACACUCAAACACACAAACAGCGCGCGCGGGCUGCCAAAGUCGGAUGAAUUCUAAAGGAACCCAUAUUAGGCUAACAAAAAGGAGAGAUGAAAUGGAUUGCAAGCAUCUUCUCAGAAACAGCUCGGGGAGCCCAGCGUAUAGCCUCCACGGUCGGAUGCCUCAGUGGGGCCAGAAAGUCCGUGACCACGACUCCACGCGCCCCAGCACUGCCUGCUGUUGGACAUUGCACGUGGAGGAGGUUGAGGCGGCCCUCCAGGCUAAACCGCCAAGGGAAGGAAGAGGACGGUGCCAACGGCACUCAGCUUGAACACUCGGUCAGCCUGGCAACCUGGGAUUUGAGCCUAACCCGGCGAAGCAGCCUCUAGCCUUGCACAAAGCGUGGGGUUUUCCCUCUCUGAACAAAGGGUCAGCACUGCUCCCACAAGUUGGAGGACUGGCUUGCACCAUUCCUUCUGUCCCCCAGGCUGCCCUCUGGCCCACAGGGAUUAGCUCCAGUCUGCACCCUCCCCUGCAGCCGGCGCCAAAGAGGGUGCUGUAACCAGUAGGCCCGGCUGGGUAGCCUGAUGGCUGGGCCUCUGAGAGAUGCAUUCCAGGAGGGGAUGGAUGGCUGGAAAGAGAGUGAGGACGCCAGGCUCCACCCUACCCUGGCCCCAACCAGCUGGGUCUCUAAGCUGGCCAGCAUGCACACACUUUGCAGCUGGAUUUUCUGGAUCGGCCAAGUGCAAUCAGCCACUGCCCUCCAACCUCCCAGAGAUGCCCUCCAGGUGGUGGCUUGCAGGGCUCCUCAGCACACUUCCACCAGCCUGCCCCCAGAAAUCUGACCACGGGUCUCUGGCUCCAGUCCUGUCCCAAGGCCACCAGACUCAACAGUGGUCCCCAACUCCUGCCACUGCCCACGUCCCACAGGUCCCUCCCCACAUAUUGGACUGGGGACUCACUAUUUGGAC